GGAUAACCUAAGUCAACACCGCAACGUCCUGGAACUGAGGCAAUUAAAUCAUCUCUGUACCUGCCACGAAGCUUGGCUCUAUAGCCAUUGAAGGAUGGAUAUUGAGGUAUAUACGAUUUAUGGGCCAAGGAGGAUGCAUGGCUAUUGAGGAUGGAUAUCAACUAGCAUUGGAGUUGGACAAUGGUUGGAAACAAAGUGAAAAAUCAGGCUCUCCAAUUGACAUUGAUUCUUCCCUAAAGGAUUAUUUUACGUUGAUAUUGAAUAUGAAAAGUUGAUAUUGAAUAUGCCCAUAUGUUGAGAUAAAGUAGCUUGGUGUAAAGGAUUAUUUUACGUUGAAAUUGAAUAUGAAAAGUUUUAUAUGUCUUAUUGAAUUUUUUGCAAAACUAUUGGUCAUUGGAUCAAGGAAUAUAAGAAAACUAAAGUUCCUCGGUUAAGUUUGGCGGUUCUGUUCAACAGUUUAACACCCCUAGACUUAAUUAUGUAAA